ensembl:lncRNA
UGAGUGGUUCAGCAGAAUGUGAGUGUUUCAGCAAAAUGUGAGUGUUUCAGCAGAGUGUGAGUGUUUCAGCAGAAUGUGAGUGUUUCAGCAGAGUGUUCUGUGACUUCUGAUUGAAUCUCCCUCCCUCUCUCUGCGAUGCCCUCUGACCUGCUUUGCCGUACGGGCUGUCACAAGCGCGCUCCCCUUGUCACGCGUGUUUAGAUCGGCCAGGAUGAAUUCCCUCAUGACGAACCAGCCUUAAAAACAUUGACUUCCGCGGCAGCUUGAGGUGACGCAAUGACCGCUCACAGGCUUCAGGUCACGCGUGUGCGGCCGGUGACAUUUAUUCAUCGAGCGUAGAGCAGCACGGAAAGCUUCUCUCAGAGGAAGAGACGUUUCUCCAUCAUCUGCCGGGUGGCUCCAGUCGGGAGUUUGAUUGACAGGCGGUCCGUCCAAUCACCAGCCACCUGUUUACUCCGACGUGCCAGAUGGUUCCCCUGUAACAGAACAUCUGGGGGGGGUCAGCUGAGUCCGAGCAAUUAUUAUUGCGGCGAGAAGAAAACUUUACGGCGUACGGCGCCGACAAAAAGAAC